AAGUGUCGGACUUCCGGAAUGUGCGGUGAGCUGGCGAUCAUCCCAUCUGACUCACUUGGCCGAGAGACUUGCCAACCAGCUGGAAGAUGUCUUCGGCCGGGACACCCAUGGGCUCGGCCACCUUCACUGCCAACAUGUCCAGACUCAAGACAGUUCCUUUGGGGAUCUUCACCUUGGCCACCACAGACUUCCCCAGCUGGAGAAAAGGAGCAGUUAUGGUCCCAGAUUUGCGCAUUAUACCAACGAAGGCGACCAGAUGGCCAGCGGAUCUCUGCAACCAAUCUUCCGCAUCUCCAGGAAGAGGAAAUUUGAGAUUGACAUGGAACCUCAGACCUCUUUGAUCCAGGCCAGUAAAUGUGCGGUCAAGUCCUCUCCCGGGGGAGUGGUCAGUCCCAUCUUUCAGGCACGCAUCAAUGUUUCAUUGUCUUAAAGUUAUGGAAGUGAAGCACAUUUAUGAGCUGACGACAAACACUCACUGGUUAGUCAUCAGACAAAUCUACAUGGAGCGCCCACUUGACACUUCUUUAUCUGAGCAUCAUGUGGCUGUAACAACAUUUGUACAAUCCGAAAACAACAAAAAUGAAUCUGAAAGCUACUAAAUGUUGAGAAAUCAUUGUUUUAUGAUACUAUCCUUCUUCAAAUACGAUAAUAUUGGACAUUAGCUAAUUUAUAAUUGACGAUGUAUGUUCACAGCUGAUGGAUUACAUUUUGAGGACUGUCUUCAUUGAAACUCUUCUUCAGGAUGGGGACUGUGUGAUCCGUGCGCUGGCUCUGACCUGCACCCGUUUUUGGGUUAUAGUCUGACUCGAGACGUUCCGCAAGGCAGCACACCUUCACUGGCUAGACUUAGUGUUGUGACCUGGAGUCUCUACUCCCCUGAAUUUAGGAACAAAUUCAGAAUCCCCUAUGUCAUUGCCACCCGUGUCCAAUGUUAUACUGAUUAAAAAGACACAAAAGGUUUUCGGGGACGGGGAAAGAGAGGAGAACUUCUCAGUUUUCAGUCCGACGGCGACAAUCUGGAAGGAUGCUGCUCUAUGGACUGUUUUUUUUGGUUUCUGGGGGGGACUGAUUAAAAAAUAAAUACAUUUGCUUUUGAUUCAUGUUUUUGUGUGAAUAUCUAAAGUUACAUAAGCAUGUACAUUCCAUAUAAGCUGCACGGUUA